UAAAGACUCAUCUGCUUCAUUGUCAGAAACUGAAGAACAUGACCUGGAGACAAUUGCAGAAGACUGUGACACAUGUCCUCAGGCAACUUCACCACAAGCUGCACAAGUUCAGCAGCCAAAUGCAGCAGGACCAAGUACAGGGUGUUUGUAUACACCAUUGAGGU